rnacentral:rRNA from 1 species
AGUCGAUGAAGGACGGGACUAACGCCGAUAUGCUUCGGGGAGCUGUAAGUAAGCUUUGAUCCGAAGAUUUCCGAAUGGGGAAACCCACCAUACGUAAUGGUAUGGUAUCCUUAUCUGAAUACAUAGGAUAAGGAAGACAGACCCAGGGAACUGAAACAUCUAAGUACCUGGAGGAAGAGAAAGCAAAUGCGAUUUCCUGAGUAGCGGCGAGCGAAACGGAACAUAGCCCAAACCAAGAGGCUUGCCUCUUGGGGUUGUAGGACAUUCUAUACGGAGUUACAAAGGAACGAGGUAGACGAAGCGACCUGGAAAGGUCCGUCGUAGAGGGUAACAACCCCGUAGUCGAAACUUCGUUCUCUCUUGAAUGUAUCCUGAGUACGGCGGAACACGUGAAAUUCCGUCGGAAUCUGGGAGGACCAUCUCCCAAGGCUAAAUACUCCCUAGUGAUCGAUAGUGAACCAGUACCGUGAGGGAAAGGUGAAAAGCACCCCGGAAGGGGAGUGAAAGAGAUCCUGAAACCGUGUGCCUACAAAUAGUCAGAGCCCGUUAA